rnacentral:lncRNA from 1 species
GAAAAUGUACUUCUGUGCAGGUUUUGGCCCUUGUUCUGGUUGGUUGCAGUAAGCAUAGGUGAGUUUGAAGGUGUCCACAUAGGAGAGUUUGAACUCUGGGGACAGUAAUGUUUCCUUGGCAAUCCUCUCAGUAUACAGUUCCCUUCAAGAGAAAAUAUGAAAUGUAGAAGACUCUGGCUGCAACCUCAUGGACAUCUCAGAUAUGAAGAAUUGGUUGUUGACACAAGAUUGAUAGGUAAGCUGUAUUGUUCAGAUUGUGAGGUAAGUCCUGUCAUGGACAUAGCCUUGUUCACAAGACCUGAUCGAUGUUCCUUUGAGAGCUCACAAAGGAGCCUCUGCCUAACCUGGUGUUGCCAUGAUUUAUCAGUAGGUAUUGUGCUAGGGAAAUUUGGUCUUGAGAGGUGUUGCCACCUUCAUCCUUGAGACACCUUUUUUCAGAUGAAUAUUGAAGGAGGACACUUGGGCACCCUUCUGCCUUUCCAAAUACUGUUUGACCUGUGUGCCAAUGAAGGUCAAAUAAUGGACUCUUCCCAGUGGCUACAGUAAGCCUCCCA